CCCUUAGAGUUUGAUCCUGGCUCAGGAUGAACGCUAGCUACAGGCUUAACACAUGCAAGUCGAGGGGCAGCAUUUCAGUUUGCUUGCAAACUGGAGAUGGCGACCGGCGCACGGGUGAGUAACACGUAUCCAACCUGCCGAUAACUCGGGGAUAGCCUUUCGAAAGAAAGAUUAAUACCCGAUAGUAUAAUUAGACCGCAUGGUCUUAUUAUUAAAGAAUUUCGGUUAUCGAUGGGGAUGCGUUCCAUUAGGCAGUUGGUGAGGUAACGGCUCACCAAACCUUCGAUGGAUAGGGGUUCUGAGAGGAAGGUCCCCCACAUUGGAACUGAGACACGGUCCAAACUCCUACGGGAGGCAGCAGUGAGGAAUAUUGGUCAAUGGGCGCAGGCCUGAACCAGCCAAGUAGCGUGAAGGAUGACUGCCCUAUGGGUUGUAAACUUCUUUUAUAUGGGAAUAAAGUUUCCACGUGUG
rnacentral:rRNA from 1 species